UACGAAGGUCCCAAGCGUUAUCCGGAUUUAUUGGGCUUAAAGGGUGCGUAGGCGGAUUAUUAAGUCAGUGGUGAAAGCUCCCAGCUUAACUGGGAAACUGCCAUUGAUACUGAUGAUCUUGAGUAUGAUUGAAGUGGGCGGAAUGUGUCAUGUAGCGGUGAAAUGCUUAGAUAUGACACAGAACACCGAUUGCGAAGGCAGCUCACUAAGCCAUAACUGACGCUGAUGCACGAAAGCGUGGGGAGCAAACAGG
rnacentral:rRNA from 1 species